rnacentral:lncRNA from 1 species
AAUGCCAGCUCGGAGAAGUGCUUAGGAAAUGCAAAAAUGCGGUUGGAAAUUGUCAUCAAAGGAUGGAAGGGAAUUGGAUAUGGCAGGCAACAAACAAAGAGCAUCAAAAUUGCUGUUGGGCGAUAUCUCUGUUGUAUGCAGCAAUUUGUAUACUGAAGAUUGCAGAGAGAAAAAGCGUGGCGUGGGAGUCUGAAAGAAAAGAGGAGGUUCGGUUUGGGCAGGGCUAGGGGGGAUUUUGGGCGAGGGGAAGAAGAAGAUGGUCAGAGUAAGCUUCUGAUGGGUGGUUACUGACUUACUGUGUGUCUGCGUGUUUUAUUUUCUUCCAAUUUUCGUUUUCAGUAGUAGAACAUACUGC